AUACGUAGGGGGCAAGCGUUGUCCGGAUUCAUUGGGCGUAAAGAGCUCGUAGGCGGUUCAGUAAGUCAGGUGUUAAAGCUCCGAGCUCAACUCGGAGAGGCCAUCUGAUACUGCUGUGACUAGAAUCCAGUAGGGGAGCGUGGAAUUCCUGGUGUAGCGGUGAAAUGCGCAGAUAUCAGGAGGAACACCAGCGGCGAAGGCGGCGCUCUGGGCUGAGAUUGACGCUGAGGAGCGAAAGUGUGGGUAGCAAACAGGAUUAGAUACCCUGGUAGUCCACACCGUAAACGUUGGGCACUAGGUGUGGGGAGGAAUCAACCCUUGCCGUGCCGUAGCUAACGCAUUAAGUGCCCCGCCUGGGGAGUACGGCCGCAAGGCUAAA
rnacentral:rRNA from 1 species